rnacentral:misc_RNA from 1 species
GAUGAAGAACGCAGCGAAAUGCGAUACGUAAUGUGAAUUGCAGAAUUCAGUGAAUCAUCGAAUCUUUGAACGCACAUUGCGCCCGCCAGCAUUCUGGCGGGCAUGCCUGUUCGAGCGUCAUUUCAACCCUCGACUUCCCUUUGGGGAAAUCGGCGUUGGGGACCGGCUGUAUACCGCCGGCCCCGAAAUGAAGUGGCGGCCCGUCCGCGGCGACCUCUGCGUAGUAAUCCAACUCGCACCGGAACCCCGACGUGGCCACGCCGUAAAACCCCCGACUUCUGAACGUUGACCUCGGAUCAGGUAGGAAUACCCGCUGAACUUAAGCAUAUCAAUAAGCGGAGGA